GUGCUUUGAGGAAAAUAAUUGGUAGUUUGUUCCAUAUCUUCCAAGUGAACACUCAUUGUGUUUCGUACGAUGAAAUUUUCCGUGUGUUUUAAAGUUAUUCAUAGAAUUAUUGGAUGAAACAUACCAGCUUCAUUUUAAGUCAUUCUCAAGACAUACUCUCUGCUCUGCAUCUCCCCCUUAGGCAUAGACAAGUGCCAUUGAUCAGAAAACCCGUAGCGAUUCCUUUCCCUUGAAGGAGCAUUAUCAUGGAUCUCAACGAUGAGGAUCACAAAUUCCAGGUACUUGAGGCGACUUGCUCAAAUACUACAACAGAAUACCUAUAUUCCCUGUGGAAUCUAGUAUACCAGUCACAUCAGCAAAAGCAGUACAGCAAACCUAUGCCGUGGAUUGGGAUGUAUAUAGCAUUAGCAUCUCUACUUUGUGUCCUUGCAAUGGUGGCUGAUUUAUUACAUGGUUUGCGAAACAGAAAGCUAUGGUUUCCAUGUAAAUAUUUCACUCUGAAUGCUGCGUCUCUCACUGUGAUAGCUGUGGCAAUAAAGCUACCCAUGGAUCCAAAUAAUCUAAUGCCAAGUCUUGUGGACCAGGCAACAAAGUUUGGAAGCAUGAGUUUUAUGUGCACCAUGAUGGCGAAUUUAUUGCCUUCUCUAGCAAUCAAGGACAAUAAGGGACUUGUCUCAAACAUCAUAGCUUUAGCUCUUCUGGUAAUCUCCUUGGUUGUCAAUUUUUGCAUUCAGAUAUCCACGGGAAUUCUAUUUUUUACUCCUGAUGACGCAUUCUACCCCUAUAAAAUAUCCAUCCUUGACAGAUUUAUUUAUGUAGUCGGUUGUGUGGUUCCGAUACUCAUGUUGCUGAUAAUAUAUGCAUGUUCAGCAUUAGCAAUUCUAAAGUCCAAACAGAUUCUAGAAUUGAACUACCAAAGAGCUAAUCAAACAGCUUUAAAGGAUCCAGAGCUGAAAGCUGGAAGAUUAACUGUUGAGAAGCUAAAGCAGUAUGUGAGCAACUACUGGAUCAUGGCAGGAACCGGAAGCCCUCAAUUUAUGACAGCUUGCUCUGCUACAACCUCUGCUGCUGGGGUAAUAUGUGUUGCAAGCACUGGCUUCCUUAUUUAUGCUAUUAUUAUCAAUUUUCCGUAUCUAGGAUAUGAAAAGCAGGAUACAUCGGAUUAUAAGUGGUCAAUGUUAGUGAUUUUCAUUAUACAAUCUGUCGGAGUGAUACUGGGUACAAUUGCCCCCCUUGCCAGAUGUUUUGCUACCUUAAGCUUUGAGUUGUCAAUUAAUCGGAUUUGGAAGCAGAUCAAGGUCUCUAAAGUAGAGAGCUACUGGACUCAGAAGUUAUAUGAUUGGAAACAUAGUAGAAUACCAUUCCCAUCCGGAAGCCGUAAAUGCAAGAUUGUGAUCCAGCAUUUGAAAAUCCAAAGUAUCAUUCUUUUUGUAUAGGAUUUCAGAAGACAGUCGUUGUAGCAUGCAAGAUGAUAACAAUGAUUAUAAUUCUCUUUUUGAUAUGUGUCUUGUGUUGUCGCGGUUGUUGGAAAUGGUUAAAGGCCAUGUUUAGCCCAUCACAUCAUACAUCGGGACAACAGCCUAAGGAGCAACUAGGAAAAGAUAAAGAUCUUAGGGGGUAUGUUUUGCAACUUGAAAACGACAUACAAUUUACAGAGAGAACAUUGAAACGCUUGUUAAAAUCUGUGAAUCGCUUGAUCCAAAAGGCAGAAAAACAACCCAAGAAUCUUAUGAAGCUUCUAUCAGAAUCUCUAGGUUUUGAAGGACUUGGAAAGUUCGACAGCAAUCAUGUUCCUUCUUUACUUUCAGAAGAAUAUGUCAAUUGUUGGUCUUUGCCUUUGGUAACACUAACAUCCAUCGCCAUGUCUCUACCUGACAUCCAAAAGAACAUGGUCGAUUGCUUGCUUAAUGGUGUGAGUGAGGGUCUUUUAUAUGUCACACUUGUGGAAGAAAGCGUCAUUAAUGCUACCGAUCAUGAUCAUGCAGGCAUUCAAAAGGCAGCUGAGACUUUGUGGGUAGAAGUUGAAGUCUACCACAAAUGGUUAGGAACUAAACUGCCAAAUCCUACGUCCAAAGUGAAUACACCGGGAGAUAUUCUUCAAUGGUUAAGGGAUAAAGCUAAGAACAAGGUCCUCAACGUGGAAAAUAUGGAUAUCACAGACCGAAAUGAUAAUUGGAAAUACAAGUCUAUUUGUGCCAAUUCAAUGUAUCGUAUCACUGAAACAAUCUUGCUCUCCUACCACGACAACAUUAAGGAGGUUAACCAAGAGGAACUGUUUUCACAUGUAUCAUCAAUGAUCGCUGAUAUAAUAGCUGCUUGUCUCACCAAUUUACCCCAAGUCAUUCUAAUGAAAUGCCAUGAAAGCGUCAUAGAGAAAAGGGAGGCGAGUGUCCAAGCUGCAGCUCAACUUCUCGGUGAGACUACACAGAUAAUCAUCGCUCUUCAAGAUCGUGAACUUCCAAGAUUGAAUCCAGACGAGUUGGCGUUUAUCGACAAGUGGUGUGCUUACUUAACGAAUCCGUUUCCUUGACAACCAUUUUUGGUUCUGCAAGUAACCAGAAGCAAAUUUCUCCCCACAUUGUUCCAAGCAAAUUUCUCUAGGUGUGGUUAAAGCUUUUGGGACCAAUUUCUAACUCCAUUUCUUGAAGAAAGGAAAUGAUGAAAGUGUGGUUUUUGUUUAUGUUUACCAUGGCUGCUGUCAUGGGUCAUGGACAUGGGGGAGACAGAGCUGAGGACCCACCUUUCCCAGGUGGUAGAGGUCCUGACCAGCACGAGCAGGACGUUGAGGAACGUGCCCGAAGGAAAGUUCGAGGAAAAGCUAAAAAUAUAAAGUUUGAAAAAGCAAUCUUACAGAACCAAGGGAAACCAAUUGGCAUGCAAUAUGAUAGGGAUAUCAAAUUUAAUCUCGUAGGAGAGCCGGGAGACAUGUUUUCCUGAGAAGUUGGAAAAACAAUGUGGCAGAUGGUCCUUUUUGACAAAUAGAGUUGGAAAAGAGUUUCCCCUGAUUUAAAGGACACUGUAUUACAACAUUUAGCGAUAAUUAUUUAUUUAAAUAUAUUUUAUAGGGUUAACUAUAAUUGUUUUUUACUUGGUUAACUUUUUUUUUUUGUAGACAAAGUUUGAUCUCAAUCAAAUGUACCAGGAUGCACAAGCUAAUCUAUUGACAGAGGGUUUUCAAGUAGCCUUGUUAAAAGGUUAUCGAGAGCGUAAAGUCGACGCAAAAGAAUAUUUCAAGAUGGUCGGAGGGUAUGAAGAUAUCCCGAGAGCAUUGGUCAAUCCUCCGGAUGGUAUGCUUGUUGAUAACUGGGUGAAGGCAAUUGAGUAUUUUCAAACUGACGAACACAUAAUUGCUUCAAAAAGGAACAAAAAAAUCCGUGAAAAGCAAACAAAUGUGAAUCGUGGGGGUUCGAGCUUGUAUAGAAGUACUUGCUAUAAGAAGAACCUUAAGAGAGUGGAAACAUUUCGCAAAGCUCAUACUGAUAAGAAUGGUGUAUUUAUUACUGCUGAAUCGGAACAACAAUAUUUAAAGAGCUUUUAGAACAAACUCAAGGUGAAAGUGAGUUAACACCUGCUCAAGAAAGAGCUAUGUUCGAGAAAGUAUUAGGAGAGCGACGUGGCCACAUUAGAGGAAUUGGCCGCAAACCUUCUAGUCUCCCGACGAUUCCACAGCCUUCGCAACCAUCACAACUAUCACAUUUGAAAAAUCUUCGUGCAAUGCUCGCCGACCCGGCAUGUAGGGAUGAGCUUUAUUCGUUUUUUCAAUCCCAAAAUAAUCAAGGAAACGAUGGAAACGACGAUGAUGAUAUGUAAGGAUGAGUUUUAUUUGCAUAUGUUGUCACGUUUUGCUACUUGGUAGAUUAUAAAAAUUUUGUUGUUUUGCUACUCGGAUAUUAUGACUUUUGAUAUUUAAUUGUAUUUGGAUGUUUGUUUGUAAUUUGCAUUGACAUUAUUAUGUUUGAUAUUUAAUA